rnacentral:rRNA from 1 species
ACAUGAAGCCGGAAUCGCUAGUAAUCGCGAAUUAGAAUGUCGCGGUGAAUACGUUCCCGGGUCUUGUACACACCGCCCGUCACACCAUGGGAGCCGGAAAUGCCCGAAGUCAGUGGCCCAACCUUAAAGGAGGGAGCUGCCGAAGGUGGAGCUGGUAACUGGGGUGAAGUCGUAACAAGGUAUC